GUGAGUCAUCGAAUCUUUGAACGCACAUUGCGCCCCUUGGUAUUCCAUGGGGCAUGCCUGUUCGAGCGUCAUUUGUACCCUCAAGCUCUGCUUGGUGUUGGGUGUUUGUCCCGCCUUCGCGCGUGGACUCGCCUUAAAGUGAUUGGCAGCCGGAAUAAUUCUGGGGAACGCAGCACAACUGCAGCCUCCAUUUUACGCCGAGCGUCCAGUAAGCCUUUUUUCAACGUUUGACCUCGGAUCAGGUAGGGAUACCCGCUGAACUUAAGCAUAUCAAUAAGCGGAGGA
rnacentral:misc_RNA from 1 species